AGUCUUCUCCCUCAUGAGACAUUUGUGAUGAAGAGCUUCAGAAAUGAAUAGUUUGAACAUAUGAGUCUCCUCCUCCUGACUGCAGAGGAGCUUCAUGACAGAGACCUGUGUGAUUGAAGCUGUGAUCAUCAGACCAAACACAGCUCACCAAAGUGACUCCUACUGAUCCUUCAGUUCCAGCAUUUCUCUCUGCUAACAUGGACAAACUUGCUGCUGCUGCUGUGUUCAUGGUGUUAACUCUCCUUGGUAACACCUUGGAGGAUGAUAUUACUGCCAGCAGUGCUGAAGUGUUGUCAUCAGAGGGUGAUGAUGUUACUCUGUCCUGUAACUACUCAGUUAAAGCUGAUAAUCUCCAGUGGUAUCAACAGGAUCCUGGAUCACCUCCUAAGUUCCUUCUCCUGAUCACAGAUACCCAAGACCCUUAUGUGGUGACAGCUAAACCUCCACACCCUGGACUGACUGUGAACCUGAAUGAGGAGAGGAAUAGAGUCAACCUCCAGAUCUCCUCUGCUGCACUGAGUGACUCUGCUGUGUACUACUGUGCUGUGAGGCCCACAGUGACAGGAAACACCAACACUCUGUACAAAAACACAACGUGUCUCUCUGACAUGCUGCUAACAGCUUCUGCUUGUGUUGAUACUUUUACCUCCACCAGAGGGAGACAUCAUCAAGUAGUUCAUACUCCACAUCAACACUGAGUUCAUCCAUUGGCUCAUUCUGAACUGCUGCUGAGAAGAGAAGUACUGUCACACUGACAGACUGACAAACUUCAGCUAGUUCCUCCUGUUGAUUGAAUCCUUGUUGUAGAGAUGGAGCGUUGGCUGUGGAUCAUUCUGGCUGCUCUUUU